GGAACAAGAGCAGAAUAAAUCUUGGAGAACUAACUCUAAGCAUCGCUGGGGAGACUUGUCCCUCAAGGGGGCACUAAGUGAGAAGCCACUGACACAGUCAUCAGAGGGCUUUCAGGUCUGGAGAGAUGACUAACUGGCACAUCCAAAGUGUGGGCCACCCUCCCCAGUGCCAACCCCCACCACAAAGACAGCAGACCUUCCAUGGGCAAUGCCUGGGAAAGGGAAACAAGGUAACAGCUGUGAAUGCCCCCAAGGCUCACACCUCCGGGGUGUGGUACCUGGCUCUUGCUUAGACAUGAAAACUACUUCAAGAACAUGGCUUCCCAGCAUGUUCUUGCUGGGAAGAACCCAAACCAACCUUACCUUCGAGAUGUAAGUCAGCUGCAGAGAUCCAACAGCUCCCGCCCCAACUGCCAGGUUCUGAAAGACAAAGCAGUAAGAGAUACACCAGUGUUCUAGUUCAGUGUGUGUCACUGCCACUUCGGGAGACCUGCCCUUUCCUGGAGAUGGAAGACGAAGCGUUUUGG